rnacentral:rRNA from 1 species
CUCUUCCCAUUCCGAACAGAGAAGUUAAGCUUCGCCACGCCGAUGGUACUGCGUACAAGUGGGAGAGUAGGUAGUCGCCGUUU